GGGGGUGUAGCUCAGUUGGGAGAGCGCAUGAAUGGCAUUCAUGAGGUCGUCGGUUCGAUCCCGAUCACCUCCA
rnacentral:tRNA from 1 species